UACGUAGGGGGCUAGCGUUGUCCGGAAUCAUUGGGCGUAAAGCGCGUGUAGGCGGUCCGGUAAGUCCGCUGUGAAAGUCGGGGGCUCAACCCUCGGAUGCCGGUGGAUACUGUCGGACUUGAGUACGGGAGAGGCGAGUGGAAUUCCUGGUGUAGCGGUGAAAUGCGCAGAUAUCGGGAGGAACACCAGUGGCGAAGGCGACUACCUGGCGUGUUUCUUGACGCUGAGGCGCGAAAGCUUGGGGAGCAAACGGG
rnacentral:rRNA from 1 species